rnacentral:rRNA from 1 species
UACGUAGGGGGCUGAGCGUUGUCCGGAUUUAUUGGCGUAAAGAGCGUGUAGGCGGCCGGGUAAGUCCGGUGUGAAAACUCGAGGCUUAACCUGGGAACUGCGCUUGUAACUGAGAGGCUAGAGUGUGGCAGAGGGGGGGUGGAAUUCCACGUGUAGCAGUGAAAUGACGUAGAGAUGUGGAGGAACACCGAUGGCGAAGGCAGCCCCCUGGGCUAACACUGGACGCUCAUGCACGAAAGACGUGGGGAGCAAACGAAGGAUACGAA